rnacentral:rRNA from 1 species
UGGGGAAUAUUGGACAAUGGGGGAAACCCUGAUCCAGCAAUGCCGCGUGUGUGAAGAAGGCCUGCGGGUUGUAAAGCACUUUUGGCAGGGAAGAAAAGCACUGGCCUAAUACACCAGUGUGUUGACGUAACCUGCAGAAGAAGCACCGGCUAACUCUGUGCCAGCAGCCGCGGUAAUACAGAGGGUGCAAGCGUUAAUCGGAAUUACUGGGCGUAAAGGGCGCGUAGGCGGUCAGGUCAGUCGGAUGUGAAAUCCCCGGGCUCAACCUGGGAAUUGCAUUCGAUACUGCCUGGCUAGAGUGUGGAAGAGGGAAGCGGAAUUUCCGGUGUAGCGGUGAAAUGCGUAGAUAUCGGAAGGAACACCAGUGGCGAAGGCGGCUUCCUGGUCCAACACUGACGCU